rnacentral:lncRNA from 1 species
GUUACUAUGGCAAAAAUUAUUCCUUUAAAAUAAUUAUCAUGAGCAUAAUACAGAUGAAUGUCAUCAUAUUCUUUUCAUAUACUUCUGCUUUUCGCUCGAAGGCCACACUGGCUUAGACGAUAGUUUUAUGCUAUCAAUUUAAACCUUCUUAUGGGUUUGAAUUCUCCAACUUUUGAUAUAUAUUCCAAAAGAAGCGUACAAAAGGAAAGUGGCUUCACCUUACCUUCGCUGUUACAUCUUUUGGAGAAUAAUAUCUUCCAUCUAAAUCCUUGUGAUUCUAAUCGAUGUCUACUCCAUUUAUUCGAUAUGAUCUGCCAUCUCACCCAAGCUUUAAUUUAAACUUAUCUGGUUUGCAUCAUUUUGAGAGUAUUUUUAAUCUUUUUUUUUAUAAAAUUUAGAGCAGCAUGUCAAUUGUCCACCAUCGACUUUUCUUAAAAAAAGGGGUAUUAAGGGUAGUUUUCACUUUGAAAAUUAAGAGCUUCAACAACCUUAAGUAAUCAGUAUGGAAAUGAUACAAAACUCAGAUCAUGUUCCUUGUAUUAACAAAGAAAAAGAAGUUAAAAAUUGUUGAGUCGAAGUAAUACUGUGCAAACCGAACAUAGUUGUCGGUUUUGGUGUAUUCGUACCAGUUAUGUAGACUGUAAUAUCAAAAUCAAUACAAAAGUGUACUACUUCCUGCAAAUAACUUCUCCAUAUUAAACAAAUCAACACAAAAGUGGCAUCUGAUAAUCUUCAUUAUCCACAAAUCAAAGUAUUUCAUUAUUUAGCAUUUUCUUCAUUAGCUUGCUUUCCUGAACCCAACUUCAUAGUUAUAAACAAAAUGUGUGUACAUAAAUAUAGAGAAGAGUGAUGGAUUUUGAUAUGCUCGGCUCCCUAUAUGCCACCCGUUACAACCAAUCCCAAAACUUGAUUAGUGUUGUCGUGUGGCAUAUAGGGAGCCAGGCACAUCCCAACUAACGCACCUUUCCUUUCAUCCUCCACAGCUUCCUUGUCGGAAAAAAAAUUCCAGAUUGACUUUACGAACGUUUUCCCAUUAUUAAGAGCAAGAGAGAGAAAAAGAGACUCUCUGUAUGUCUGCGUGAUUACAGGGUGUUA